UGCACUGUAGCCCAAUAAACAAGUAAACACAUUUGUUAAUAAAAUAGUGAUUAAAAAAUACUCUUUCAAAAUGCAGCUGUAUAUUUAGUUAUGGAUACAUAAUUAAUUACUAUGGGAAUAAAUAUCACUGAAUUACAGAAAUAUUGGAACAAAGUUGUCUAAUGAAGGUAAAGAAAUUGUUGCUUACUGGAAAAUACUAGUACAGUGCCAUUAUGGCUGUUAGCAGAACAAUAGACUUGUAUAUUAUCAGAACAAUAGACUUGUCUAUUAGCAGGGCUAUUAGCAGAACAAUAGACUUGUCUAUUAGCAGGGCUAUUAGCAGAACAAUAGACUUGGCUAUUAGCAGAACAAUAGACUUGUCUAUUAGCAGGGCUAUUAGCAGAACAAUAGACUUGUCUAUUAGCAGAACAAUAGACUUGACUAUUAGCAGAACAAUAGACUUGUCUAUUAGCAGAACAAUAGACUUGUCUAUUAGCAGGGCUAUUAGCAGAACAAUAGACUUGUCUAUUAUCAGAACAAUAUACGUGUCUAUUAGCAG
ensembl:lncRNA